GAGUUUGAUCAUGGCUCAGAUUGAACGCUGGCGGCAUGCCUUACACAUGCAAGUCGAACGGCAGCGACGGGGGCAACCCUGGUGGCGAGUGGCGAACGGGUGAGUAAUGCAUCGGAAUGUGUCCUCUUGGUGGGGGAUAACCAGUCGAAAGACUGGCUAAUACCGCAUGAGCUCGAGAGAGGAAAGCGGGGGACCGCAAGGCCUCGCGCGAGAGGAGCAGCCGAUGCCCGAUUAGCUAGUUGGCGGGGUAAGAGCCCACCAAGGCGACGAUCGGUAGCUGGUCUGAGAGGACGACCAGCCACACUGGGACUGAGACACGGCCCAGACUCCUACGGGAGGCAGCAGUGGGGAAUUUUGGACAAUGGGCGCAAGCCUGAUCCAGCCAUGCCGCGUGUGUGAAGAAGGCC
rnacentral:rRNA from 1 species